rnacentral:rRNA from 1 species
GAGUAGUGGGGGAUAACUGAUCGAAAGAUCAGCUAAUACCGCAUACGUCUUGAGAGAGAAAGCAGGGGACCUUCGGGCCUUGCGCUAUUCGAGCGGCCGAUAUCUGAUUAGCUAGUUGGUGGGGUAAAGGCCCACCAAGGCGACGAUCAGUAGCGGGUCUGAGAGGAUGAUCCGCCACACUGGGACUGAGACACGGCCCAGAC